rfam:Cyberlindnera jadinii NRRL Y-1542 unplaced genomic scaffold CYBJAscaffold_8, whole genome shotgun sequence.
UCAUAUGAUGACAACCUUUUUUGUUGCUUGAAGACUACGGUCAGUGUGGGCACAAUGAUUUCUCAAGACUACAACGGUAUCUGAUU